AGGCUCAGUGCUUUAUCCACUAAGAUACCCAGCUGCUUUAUGCCUAUGUGCCUGGCACAUAGUAGGUAUUUAAAAAAUUGUUGUAGCCUGACUAGUAGGUCACACUUGAGAUGAACCUCAAAAGAAACUAGGGAUUCUUCAGUAAAGGUCAAGGUGAGGAAGAAGUACAUUGUGGGCAAGGGGACAAUCCCUGCAAAAAAAAAAAAAAAAAAAAAAAAAAAUAUAUAUAUAUAUAUAUAUAUAUAUAUAUAUAUAUAUUUGUAAAAAUAAGUCCUUUUCCUUUGAUCUCUUUGGGACACAGAUCUAGUAGUAGUAUUGAUGGAGCAAAAGGUAUUCACUGUUUUAUAGUCCUUUGGGUAUUGUUCCAAAUUUCUAUCCAAAUUUCUAUCUGUUUACAACUCCACCAGUAAUGCAUUAGUGUCCCAAUUCUUCUACAUUUCCUCUAGCAUUUGUCAUUUUCCUUUUCUGUCACAUCAUUCAAUCUGAUAUAUAUUAGGGAGUACCUCCUCAGUCUUCUUUUUUAAAUAUGGUUGACUUCCUAUUUAUUUUUCAUAGAAGACAAACUUCCUUGCCUUAGGAGGACUAUUGAACAGAACAGGAGAAGCAGAGAAGGUCACAGUUGGAAGAGAUUUCAGAUGCUAUUUAGUGAACAAGAAGUCUAUAAUAUAAUUGAAAAAUCCUCAACCAGCUUCUGCAUGAAGAUAUCCUCUGAGAGAACUCACAGUCCAUUCUACUUUUGAGGGGCUUUAAUUCUUGGCAAGUUUUUCUUUAGAUGAACUCAAAUCUACUUUUUUGUUUUUUGUAAUUUAUACUCAUGAUUCCAAUUUGUGUCACAGGGAGACAAUAACUCAUUUCCUAGUGAAUAGCCCUGUAAAUUCUUAAAGAAGGCUAUCAUGACUUCAUAGCUAGCUACCCCUUCCUCUUUCUCAACCUCUUCCCACCAAUUUUUUUUUUCUCUUCUGGCACUAACCAUCUAUAGUUCUUUAAAUUGAUUUUCAUCAUCAUGAAUUUAAGGUAUUUUGCCAUUCUGUUUGCCCUCCUCUGGAUGCUGUUCAAGCUCUUUAGAGUCUCUUCUUUGGGAAAGAAAUUAAUUUGUUUGUAACAUUUAAAAUAUUAAUAUACUCAGAUAACACUCCCAAUUAGAGAAGGCAUUAUUUGACAGAAAGAUAUAUGCAC
rnacentral:lncRNA from 1 species